GCACUUGCCGCCAUGUUUCAUGGAUCACAACAUUGGGGGAAAAAAGAAAUCUUUGUGUACAUCUGGAAGCAAUGAUGUAUAGAUAACACUUUGGAGGAAUUUUAUUUAUUUUUGAGGUUUUAACAUCUUAUGUUAGGAUGGCGUGUUUGGCCAAUUUGAAACAAGACAUUAAAUUCUUGGAAAGUGUUUUUCCAAAAGACCACAAAGUUUUCCAGAUUUUGUCAGCUUCGGUUGACGAGUUAACGUGUCGUUUUGUAAGCAGAGAUGGGCGAAAAUAUGAUGUCCACGCUAAUAUAAUGGAAACCUACCCCCAGUCUGCUCCUAUAUGGUUCAGUGAAGAUGACGACACCAUAGUCAGCAAUGUUAUAUCUCGCCUUAGUGAGGCCCCUCCAGACAAAAAUAAUAUUCUUCACCAAGUGCGUAUUCUAGUGACCGAGCUUUGUGAUUUGUUUGAUAUGUCAGCCACAGAUUCCAUAAAUCAACUGGACAAGUUUCUUCGAGACAGGGGUCUGAUGAUGCAGCUCAGAAAGGAAAGCUCGGAUGAAGAGGAGGAGGAAGAUGAAGACCACUAUGACAUGGAGGAGGAUUUAUCAACGAGUGAACAGAAGAUGAAAGAUGUUGAAGGAAUCGACACAGAACAAGUCUUGGUGCUAGAGAGGUUAAAACAGAACCAGAGACAGGAUUAUCUUAAGGGCUCUGUCACAGGUUCUGUUCAAGCCACAGACAGACUGAUGAAGGAGCUGAGGGAUGUCUACCGCUCAGACAGCUAUAAAAUGGGGUGGAUUCGGACAGCUCCCUCCAUCAGGACCUACAACAGUACAAAAAAGAACAUGGCAAGGACCACAUCCUCCUCAACUUCACCUUCAAGGAUAACUUCCCCUUUGAGCCUCCAUUUGUACGGGUUGUCAAUCCAGUCCUGAACGGGGGAUAUGUCCUACAUGGAGGGGCUAUAUGUAUGGAGUUAUUAACUCGCCAGGGAUGGAGCAGUGCCUAUGGGAUGGAGUCAGUGAUCCUACAGAUCAGCGCCACACUGGUCAAGGGAAAGGCCAGGAUCCAGUUCAGUGCUUCAAAGAAUCAGUAUAGCUUAGCAAGGGCCCAACAGUCUUUCAAAUCUCUGGUGCAUAUACAUGAAAAAAAUGGUUGGUUCACACCCCCUAAGGAGGAUGGAUAACCCCAGACCAAAGAUUCUCUUCCUUUACACAUUGUGAUCAUCUUCAUCCAAUCUUCUGUCAUCUCUGUUCAUUGUUGGGACUCGGGGAGACAUUAAUGCUACCACUGGUGUCAAAUACCUUGGGUGGUGUAAGGCGUCAACUCUUUUACUGGUGUCCAAUACCGCAGGUGGUUUGUGUAUAAAAGACGAUGAAAAUACUUGUUCAAGUGGAUAAGACUAUUACUUGACUUCCUGAUGGUAGUGUUGCUCUACUUAAUGUAUUUCAAUGAAUUGAGAGAAAGAGAGAGCGAGAAAGAGGGGUGUUCAUGCUAAUUUGAGAGAGAAUAAGCAAGAAUAAGAGCAGAUUUUGUUUUAAGUUGUCUUCAAGAUAUGCAAGUUUUACUACAUGUUUUGUCUUGAGCUAUAAUGUAUUAUUUCCAAUGUUAAAACUCAUACACCAGCUGUGUGAUGAAUGUGGAUUCUCUUGAUGUAAUGUUACUGUAUCAAUUAGAGACGUCUGGCUUCUCUCCGUUGGUUCUGUAUGCAAUUAACCAACUCUGUUAAAUAAACAUUAGAUGAUAUU
rnacentral:misc_RNA from 1 species